rnacentral:rRNA from 1 species
UACAGAGGGGGCGAGCGUUGUUCGGAAUUAUUGGGCGUAAAGAGCUCGUAGGCGGCUUGUCACGUCGAUUGUGAAAGCCCGAGGCUUAACCUCGGGUCUGCAGUCGAUACGGGCUAGCUAGAGUGUGGUAGGGGAGAUCGGAAUUCCGUGGUGUAGCGGUGAAAUGCGCAGAUAUCAGGAGGAACACCUGCGGUGUAGACGGCUUACUGGACCAUCACUGACGCUGAGGCACGAAAGCGUGGGUAGCAAACAGG